rnacentral:rRNA from 1 species
AGCGAACGCUGGCGGCAGGCUUAACACAUGCAAGUCGAGCGGGCAUCCUUGUGGUGUCUGCGGCAGACGGGUGAGUAACGCGUGGGAACGUGCCCUUCGGUUCGGAAUAACCCAGGGAAACUUUAGCUAAUACCGGAUACGUUCGAGAGCAGAAAGGUUUAUCUGCCGAAGGAUCGGCCCGCGUCUGAUUAGCUAGUUGGUGAGGUUACGGCUCACCAAGGCGACGAUCAGUAGCUGGUCGGCGAGGAUGAUCAGCCACGCCGGGAAUGAGACACGGCCCAGACCCGGACGGAGGGGAGGAGUGGGGAAUAUUAGGCGAGGGAGGCAACCCUGAUCAAGCCGUGCGGCGGAAGUGGUGACGGCCUUAGGGUUGUAAAGCUCUUUUCUCCGGGACGAUAGUGACGGUACCGGGGGAAUAAGCCCCGGCUAACUUCGUG